UUUAAAUUAUUUAUUUGAAAUAUAACUUUAAUAAAAUGAUAUUUCUUCACAUGCUUUUCCUUUUUUUUCUGUUCUGUUAAAAGUAUUGGAUACUUUUUUAAUUUUACAACAAUCUUUUACAAAAGGAAAAAGAUCAAUUUAAUAAGAAAUAUAACAGGGAAAAUUUACAAUUCUACAAAUAUGAUAUCUAAUCAGAUAUAACGGAUAUACUCAUAUAAUAAUUUUAUAUGAAAAAAAAUCAAUUCGAAAGACUAAGUCGGAAGAUCAUAUAUUGCUAGACGUAUUCGCGGAUUGUAAAGGAUCGAAGAAGCUCUGUGUUCGUGUAGUUCCUGCACAGUGGAUGAUCUUAUAAGGUGACUCGUAGAUAGAACAGCCAGACAUAAGUGAUUUGGAACGUGGGACCAUAAUAGAACCGGUUAGAAACAUUGUCGAAAACAUAGGCCGCCUGUUCAACCUCCUGAGCCAGAAGGUACGACCAGAUUCAAAUUCGUGAUGCCUUCGGCAUCAAUCACUUUGCCAAGUGAGCAUCUUCUUCGUCAACCCUUUGUUCAGCCCACAACUUUUCCGUCAACGAUUCAUCGUCGUGGUUACUAGAGCCAAAUGGUAAAAUUAUGAGAUAAACCCCAUGCCUCGAGCAGACUAAAUGUAAAUGGAUCUAUGACAGAGGCGUGAAUCAAUAUGAAAUACGCGGGUAAUGUUGAGAUGAAUAGCUGAGAUUAUGUUGGUACCACUGGGAUGAUAAUUAUAUCUGUUUUGAAUGAGAAUGAAUGAAAUUAAACGAAGAGAUAUAACAAAUGCAUGGCAAUAUAAUUUAAAGAAGAGAAUAUAACCUCGACAUUUUGAUCUCAAGAUUCUAAAACAUAGUUUAACCAUGUUACCAAAUGAAGAUACAUGAAAGAAUGAAUUUAAUGUGGAAGAAUAUUUCAAAAAUUUAAAGGAGAGGAAUUUAAUAAUAAUAUCAAAAUGAUCGCGAAAGAAAAUUUAAACGAAUCAGAAAUUAUUGAAUUUUAAAUAUUGAAAAAUUGUAAUUGUCUAAAUUGGAAUGCUUUGAUGGAAACAACUUUUAUAAAAUUCAUUUACAUUAUCUCCCCAUGAAAUGUAAAUUAUAUAUAUUUUGUAAUUUAUAAUUUAUAAUUUAUAAUGUAAUAAAAUUUAUAUUAUUAUUAAAUUAAGGGAUAACUAUAAAAA